UAAAAUGGGCACAGAAUGGAGUUAGUAUCUAUGUGUAUAUAAGUAGUAAGCUAAGUAUUAUCAGUAGUAGGGAUUAUAUCCCUAAUAAAGGGAGGCUAAAAAUAAGACUUUGAACUGCCUGCAACUAAUGCAAAGAGUGGAGCAAUCACGUAUAGAUCACAUAUAGACCACAAUACAGGUUUAAACCAAUGGAAAAAGCAAAGCACUUCUCUUUCUGGUAGGAAUCCCUCAAGAAAUGUCUGAUAUGUCCAUACAAAGGAGAUGUUUUGUUCUAGAACUACAUCUCUGAUACAAAUGCAACAACAAGUUUUAUACUGUAGCAGUUUAUACUGUCUUUUUUCCACUCUUAACAGUGGCAAGAAUUUUGCAAAGGACUGUCCAGCUAACUAGAUCUCUAAAGAUCUAGCUUAAAUUUAGAACACCAGAAGUAAAAUUUAGAGCAUUCAGAAAAAUGUAUCCUUCAAACCAUUCUCCUUAAAUAUUUUAUAUUCACAUCUAUGUUUGAUCAACACUGGGUGGCAGACAGCAUGAGAGUACCCUCCCUGACCUGCAGUGAAAUUUUCCUAUAUUGCUAUUUAAAGGCAGUUCAGUGCCUUUUUACUUUACCUUUUAAUAGAAUAUCUAUAGGAAAGGCUGGGCAUUUAGAAAUGUCAGGAUAUGGACCAGGAGAAUCCUCAUGAGUAGAACCAACAUUCUGUGUAAAGAUAAUCCUGAGUCUAUUUAAAACACACUGUGAAAUGGGUAAUGGAGAUGUUGAAGAUGAUGACAUGAAGAUGCAGUUUAUAGUCACUGGGUGCAAACAGGAGUUAAAACUGCAAAGUAUAAUGAAAAAGCAGAAUAAAAAUGCUACAAUUGGAUGCAAUGCCAGUAGCUGUCUAAAAGAGAUCACCAUCUUAUGGUGGCAUGUUAAAGAGUAAUUUGAGUGGGGAAGCCUAGAGUUAAAAGAGACUAAGAAACUAUUGGAAUAGGCUAUGUGAGAUAAGUUCAAGGCCUGAAACCUGGGCAAGAGUGAUGGAAACGAAGGGGAAGAGUGAGUGAGAGAAAUGGGAGAGGGAAAUGACUGGCUUGGUGACCCACUAGGGGCAAGAACAAAGAAGUCAGAGGUCACACAAAGAUUUCUAGUCUCUGCAGCUGUGUUACUAUAGACCAAUGAUCGUGACAAGGAAGACAAAGAUGGAAUACAUGAGGCAACUGAAAAUUUGAAUCUAGCAUUCCACAAAUGACCAUCUUAAGAAUACAGCAAGGCUGGGCAUGGUGGCUCACACCUGUAAUCCCAGCACUUUGGGAAGCUGAGGUGGGCAGGUCACCUGAGGUUAGGAGUUCAAGAUCAGACUGGCCAACAUGGUGAAACCCCGUCUCUACUAAAACAUACAAAAAAUCAGCCAGGCGUGGUGGCACGUGCCUAUAGUCCCAGAUACUUGGGAGGCUGAGGCAAGAGAAUUGUUUGAACCCAGGAGGUGGACGUUGCAGUGAGCCAAAAUCGUACCACUUACUCCAGACUGGGCAACAGAUCAAGACAACAU